CAGGUAACCACUCACCUCUCCCUCGAGUUCCAGAGCCUCAAACCUAUUAUGUAGGGGCACCUGGGCAACUGAGAUCGUUCUAGUGCAGUUCCAAGCAAAUUACAGCAUUUGGUGGAACAGAGGCAUGAAACUGUUAUGUGUGGAGUAAGAAUAUGUCCUUGUUGCAGGAGGUGAAAGGAACAUAUUGGACUUAUAAAAAAGGAAAAGACAAAGCACAAAUAAAAGUCUGCUCUGGGAGGACACUUAGACAAUCACAGAAUAAAAAUAGCAAGAUGGAGGUAGCUACCAAGAAAUGGAAGUGGCAAAAGAAAAGCGUAUUUUGAAAUGACAACAAAAGAGUGAAUUACUUUUGUGACUGAGAAGCUGAAUGAAAGUGCCAAGGUCAAUGGGAUGGUAGACAAUGGGAAGAGGACAAAGAAAGAGGAGCCUAGUCAUUUGAUAACUCGGCCACAGGGAAGAAAAUUUGAGAGUUACAGAAAGGAAGAAAAGAGUGAGAACAAGACAUAAAGGAAGAAAGAGGUAACAUCUGGUCCCAGAGCACUGAGGAAGAUGAUAAAGAAAAUGAAGGCAGAAAUAAACAGCACUACAGAAAUCAGGAAACAGCAAGUAGUAUACAACUAAAAGUAUAACAAUUUAAAAAUCAGAGUUCCUUUUCU